rnacentral:rRNA from 1 species
GGUGGGGACGACGUCAAGUCAUCAUGCCCCUUAUGUCUUGGGCUGCACACGUGCUACAAUGGCCGGUACAAUGAGCUGCGAUACCGCGAGGUGGAGCGAAUCUCAAAAAGCCGGUCUCAGUUCGGAUUGGGGUCUGCAACUCGACCCCAUGAAGUCGGAGUUGCUAGUAAUCGCAGAUCAGCAUUGCUGCGGUGAAUACGUUCCCGGGCCUUGUACACACCGCCCGUCACGUCACGAAAGUCGGUAACACCCGAAGCCGGUGGCCCAACCCCUUGUGGGAGGGAAUCGUCGAAGGUGGGACUGGCGAUUGGGACGAAGUCGUAACAAGGUAACCGUA